ACUAGGAUUAGAUACCCUAUUAUUCUUACACAAAUACUUGAAUAGAGUAAGGAAUGAAAAACAUCGGAUAUGGCGGUCUUUUAUCUGAUCAGAGAAGCAUGCUAGUUCAAUGAAUCUACCCAAAGAACUCUUCUUUUCCUUGUAUAAUUCAUUUUGUACACCGCUAUCUGAAAGAGGUCUUCAUAGAGUUCUCUUUUAUCCAAUGAGGAUAUAAGUUAAGUAAAGGUGCAGACUAUGGGAAAGAGCUAGUGUGCCUCAAUUUAAGUUAAUGAAAGUUUGAAAAGGUCCAAGAGAAYYYGAAAG
rnacentral:rRNA from 1 species